GUGAAAUUGGUAGACACGCUGCUCUAGCAUCUCGGUUCGAGUCCGAGUAGCGGCA
rnacentral:tRNA from 1 species